rnacentral:rRNA from 1 species
UACGUAGGGGGCUAGCGUUGUCCGGAAUCACUGGGCGUACAGGGCGCGUAGGCGGGAUGGCAAGUCGGUCGUGAAAUCUCUCGGCUCAACCGAGAAACGUCGGCCGAUACUGCCGUUCUUGAGGGAUGCAGAGGAGACUGGAAUUCCCGGUGUAGCGGUGAAAUGUGUAGAGAUCGGGAGGAACACCGGUGGCGAAGGCGGGUCUCUGGGCAUUUCCUGACGCUGAGGCGCGAAAGCGUGGGGAGCAAACGGG